rnacentral:lncRNA from 1 species
UUGUAUACUUCUACAUGGAUCCGCAUCCAUCCACCCCUCUUGUUCCUACUAAUGUCCUAUUUAUUCAUCUUCUUAUUCUCUCUUUAAUUUCAUUGUCUAUUUAAGGGAUAUCGACUCUUAAGAAGAGAUCCCUUUAACGAGUUUUUCACUCGACGGUGAACCUCAUCUUCUUUAAUGGUAGGAACGCUCAUUGUGGAGUUGUCUCUUCAUAUCAGGAUCUUCAAAGGAAUCAACGUACACUUCUACAUAUAAGAACUAAGGAGUUCCAUAAAACCACAGAAUAACCGAUUAUGUGUGGAACAGAGAGAGUUCUCACCCAUCAUAGACAGCUCCUUCUUUGAAAUUUUUGAAAGUCAGCUCUGCUUCGUCUCCUAUUUUUAUAUAACUAUUUCAUUAAUAAGAGCCCUUCAGUAUUCUUGAAGUAUAUAGUGCAGUAAUCACUCAUCUCAAUCACAUUUAUAAAUUGGAUUUCGUGAUAUAAGGUCUAUACGGAUAAUUAUACAACCUGGGCACUUCAAUCUCACUCCUGAUUUUUUUAAUACUACUGAGUCUCUUUUGUCAUUUGAAAAGAAGUGGACCAGACUUGUAAAGAUAAUAUGCUUUUCUUUUUUCGAUAUUUUGGUUUUGCAAAACAUAUUUUAUUCUGCUAUUACGUAUAAAUAGAUAUUUGGUACUUUUAAA